UGGGACUUCCCUCCAUGUUCUCAAUUAGUUCCUUGCAAGUGUUAUUUGUGAUUCUAGAAACUAAGAAUAGUCAGCUGCUGAGACUAAACAAAAGAGAGGAAAUGUGGGUAUUGGGAGGGGGGGUUGACAUGAGGCCCUCAUCUAAAGUUUUGGCGAAUUUAGAUGGAUUCUAAUGGGCAUGAUCAGAGAAUAACUGAUUAAGGUGAUGGUCAAAGAAAACACUGACCAAUGUCCUGACCCUCAAGGUAGAGAGUAUAUGAUGAAAUCCUUCUUCUACAACACCUUGAGACCAAGCACUUAAAAUUUCUAGGCAACAACUCUUUAUAAAAUGACAAAGUUGGAACAGAUAUCUGUAUGUGGAAACAUGCAUACUACAGAGAGAAAGGAGAAAAAGAAAGAGAGAAAUUGCACUUCAGAGUUAAUCACCCUAAAAGAUUUCCUGUGAUUAAAAAUAUCUACUCUAGUA